rnacentral:rRNA from 1 species
GGCCCUUUAGUACGGCGAGUGAAGCGGCAAAAGCUCAAAUUUGAAAUCUGGUACCUUCGGUGCCCGAGUUGUAAUUUGGAGAGGGCAACUUUGGGGCCGUUCCUUGUCUAUGUUCCUUGGAACAGGACGUCAUAGAGGGUGAGAAUCCCGUGUGGCGAGGAGUGCGGUUCUUUGUAAAGUGCCUUCGAAGAGUCGAGUUGUUUGGGAAUGCAGCUCUAAGUGGGUGGUAAAUUCCAUCUAAAGCUAAAUAUUGGCGAGAGACCGAUAGCGAACAAGUACAGUGAUGGAAAGAUGAAAAGAACUUUGAAAAGAGAGUGAAAAAGUACGUGAAAUUGUUGAAAGGGAAGGGCAUUUGAUCAGACAUGGUGUUUUGUGCCCUCUGCUCCUUGUGGGUAGGGGAAUCUCGCAUUUCACUGGGCCAGCAUCAGUUUUGGUGGCAGGAUAAAUCCAUAGGAAUGUAGCUUGCCUCGGUAAGUAUUAUAGCCUGUGGGAAUACUGCCAGCUGGGACUGAGGACUGCGACGUAAGUCAAGGAUGCUGGCAUAAUGGUUAUAUGCCGCCCGUCUUGAACCACGGACCA